rnacentral:rRNA from 1 species
GAAGGGCCCGAGCGUUAAUCGGAAUCACUGGGCUUAAAGCGUACGCAGGCGGACGCGCAGGCAUCCUGUGAAAUCCCUCGGCUCAACCGAGGAACUGCUUGGUGAACCGCGUGUCUUGAGACAAGUAGGGGCUGUCGGAACGCUAGGUGGGGUGGUGAAAUGCGUUGAUAUCUAGCGGAACACCGAAGGAGAAAUCAGGCAGCUGGGCUUGUUCUGACGCUGAGGUACGAAAGCGUGGGGAGCGAACGGGAUUAGAUACCCCGGUAGUCCACGCCGUAAACGAUGUGCACUAGAUCGAGGAGGUUCUGACACCGUUCUCGGUCGAAGCGAAAGUGUUAAGUGCACCGCCUGGGGAGUACGGUCGCAAGGCUA